rnacentral:sRNA from 1 species
GGGGGCGUACUGGCUUCGACGGAGAGACCGAGAUCCGAGGCGCAUGCCGAGGUCCCGUGGGCUCGUAAAACACGCGGGAAAUUGUCAACUGCCAACGACAACUACGCUCUCGCUGCUUAACUAACCCUUAAGCCAGUGAGUGUCCCUGCCGAGGACGCCUGCUAAUCGGUAGGGGCACAACGCUAGCAGGCUGGUGGCGUGACGAUGCCUACCCGUCGCGCCAUGAGAGGCAGGUGGGCUAGCCUCGAGGGAAUCCUGUCCGGGGGAGUUCCUCGCGGCGAAUUCAAACCCGGAAGAAGCAUGUGGUGCCUCGCGAUUAAAGCUUUUCGGACGCGGGUUCGAUUCCCGCCGCCUCCACCA